AGUGAACGCUGGCGGUAGGCCUAACACAUGCAAGUCGAACGGCAGCACAGUAAGAGCUUGCUCUUACGGGUGGCGAGUGGCGGACGGGUGAGGAAUACAUCGGAAUCUACUUUUUCGUGGGGGAUAACGUAGGGAAACUUACGCUAAUACCGCAUACGACCUACGGGUGAAAGCAGGGGAUCUUCGGACCUUGCGCGAUCGAAUGAGCCGAUGUCGGAUUAGCUAGUUGGCGGGGUAAAGGCCCACCAAGGCGACGAUCCGUAGCUGGUCUGACAGGAUGAUCAGCCACACUGGAACUGAGACACGGUCCAGACUCCUACGGGAGGCAGCAGUGGGGAAUAUUGGACAAUGGGCGCAAGCCUGAUCCAGCCAUACCGCGUGGGUGAAGAAGGCCUUCGGGUUGUAAAGCCCUUUUGUUGGGAAAGAAAAGCAGCAGGUUAAUACCCCGCUGUUCUGACGGUACCCAAAGAAUAAGCACCGGCUAACUUCGUG
rnacentral:rRNA from 1 species